rnacentral:rRNA from 1 species
UACAGAGACCUCGAGCGUUAUCCGGAUUUAUUGGGCGUAAAGGGUCCGCAGGCGGUCGUGUGCGUCAUAUGUCAAAACUCUGGGCUCAACCCAGAAUCGGCGUGUGAUACGGCACGACUAGAAGCUGGGAGAGGCACAUGGAAUUACUGGUGUAGCGGUGAAAUGCGUAGAUAUCAAGAGGAACACCUGAGGUGAAGACGGGUUGCUGGGCUGACACUGACGCUGAGGCGCGAAAGCCAGGGGAGCAAACGGG